rnacentral:lncRNA from 1 species
CUAGGGGCAGAGGUGGUUACUCCAGUGUGAAGCGGCUUCCAGGCAUCCAUUUCCUUAAGACUACACAAAGAAUCCAUUACUGGAAAACAUCCAAAUCUGCCAGAUAAUUGCCUCGAUCCAUGUUCUCUUCACCUUGGAGGCAAACGUGGGACAAUAUUUUUAAUCCCAGUGCAUCUGCCUGUUCCUAGGCUAGCAUCUGGUUACAGCUGCUUUUUUUUUUUUCAUCUGGAGGGACCUCUUUGGUGCAAACCGAGCCGAACCUGCAGUAUGGCUGCCAUGGCAAGCAAGCUCCGGGCUAGGGACUUCUUUGGUGCAAACUGAGCGGAUCCUGCAGUAUGGCUGCCAUGGCAAGCAAGCUCCGGGCUAGGGUGAACAGAGUGAGAAAGGCUUCCACUAUGAUCUCUGGUUGUGUCUACAUCUUAGAGUUCCAGGGCUGCUGACUCCUGGACAGAGAGCUACUCCCCUGCCUGACAACGAUGGCUGCCACGGGAUAUCCAAGCCUGUACUUCCUGUGUGGCCCUGGUUAUUGCUCUGCACUAGAUAGAGCAAGCCUUGGGGAUUGCAGUGGUGAGACCCUUACCUGUCAGUUGGACGGGGCUAUCUGAAGCCCUUAUUACUUCAGGGCACCAGAGUCCACAAUGUAUUCCUCAACCCCUCGCCCCCAGACUUUUUGAAAGAAAGCACAAUGAGGUGUUGGUAGGAACAGUAAAGAAAUACCGCUUGAUGGCAGUAUUGCACCAUCAAUGUCAAGGUACCAGUCUUCCAGGGCCUCUCCCCCCCGCCCUUCUCUGAAUAAAAAAAAAAAGUGAAACAAUUUGCCAUGAGAUUCCAAAUGGGUAAAUUCAAUCUUGGCUUCGUGUAGCCAGAGGUGGGCCUUGGAGUCUUACUUUAUGCAUAUUGUACCUACC